rnacentral:rRNA from 1 species
GACGAACGCUGGCGGCGUGCUUAACACAUGCAAGUCGAACGGAAAGGCCCUGCUUUUGUGGGGUGCUCGAGUGGCGAACGGGUGAGUAACACGUGAGUAACCUGCCCUUGACUUUGGGAUAACUUCAGGAAACUGGGGCUAAUACCGGAUAGGAGCUCCUGCUGCAUGGUGGGGGUUGGAAAGUUUCGGCGGUUGGGGAUGGACUCGCGGCUUAUCAGCUUGUUGGUGGGGUAGUGGCUUACCAAGGCUUUGACGGGUAGCCGGCCUGAGAGGGUGACCGGCCACAUUGGGACUGAGAUAGGGACCAGACUCCAACGGGAGGCAGCAGUGGGGAAUAUUGCACAAUGGGCGGAAGCCUGAUGAAGCAACGCCGCGUGCGGGAUGACGGCCUUCGGGUUGUAAACCGCUUUCGCCUGUGACGAAGCGUGAGUGACGGUAAUGGGUAAAGAAGCACCGGCUAACUACGUG